AAAUCCAGGGUUUGUAUAAAACCUAAUCCGAAUUUGCACUUCGGGCCACUGGACU
rnacentral:tRNA from 1 species